rnacentral:rRNA from 1 species
UACGAGGGGGGCAAGCGUUGUUCGGAAUUACUGGGCGUAAAGGGCGCGUAGGCGGCCUUCUAAGUCGAACGUGAAAUCCCUGGGCUCAACCCAGGAACUGCGUCCGAUACUGGAGGGCUUGAAUCCGGGAGAGGGAUGUGGAAUUCCAGGUGUAGCGGUGAAAUGCGUAGAUAUCUGGAGGAACACCGGUGGCGAAGGCGACAUCCUGGACCGGUAUUGACGCUGAGGCGCGAAAGCCAGGGGAGCAAACGGG